UACAGAGGACCCAAGCGUUGUUCGGAUUCAUUGGGCGUAAAGGGUGCGUAGGUGGCGCUGUAAGUCGGGGGUGAAAGUUCGGAGCUUAACUCCGAAACUGCAUUCGAUACUGCGGUGCUCGAGGACUGGAGAGGAGACUGGAAUUCAUGGUGUAGCAGUGAAAUGCGUAGAGAUCAUGAGGAAGACCAGUGGCGAAGGCGGGUCUCUGGACAGUUCCUGACACUGAGGCACGAAGGCCAGGGGAGCAAACGGG
rnacentral:rRNA from 1 species